UUCAUUUUCAUAUCAUUCUGCUUUUCUAUGAAAAUGGAAAGAACAAAAUGAUGAAAGAAAACUUGUUCUGAAUUAUUUGAUAACAGUAACUUUAUAUUGGUUAGUACUUAUUCAACAAGACUAGUAUCACUAAGUUAGAAUGAAAUUGAAGGUGGCCAAAAAAUAAAUAUGUUGUUUUCCCUUUCACCACCUUGCAAAAGAGUUAGAAGUAGAACAAUUUAAUUUUUCCAAAAUGUAUCCCUUUGAACUGAGACACCCUGCUUUUGUAAAUAUGAAAUGUGAAAACAUAUUGAAGUUUGAAGGGUUUUACACAUUGUUUAUAUUAGAUAAUAACUGGAAGUUCAGACAUAAUAUACAUGUAUUAGAAAGUUUUGAGAACCAAAAAUCACAGAGCAGGUACUUGCAUUUGGUUUUAUGUGAAGACAUUCACACAUUUCUCGUUAUUACAAUUAAUUUAGCUUCAUUGUAUAUGUUUGUCCAAGCUUCAACUAUAAUGUUAUGUUUUCUUUUUAUAAAUAACAGAUAUUUAAUUGAUGGGGGUCUCCAGCAAUAUCAUAUAAAGUGCUUAUAAACUCUCACCUUAGAGCUUCAUGACUUGGUGCUAUAAUUUGUGUGAAUAACCAUAUAUAAUUCAGCAUUUGUAGAUUAAUUGUAAGAUAAUCAUUUUUAAACAUAUAGCAUCUUUUUCUCCAACUAUGUGCAAAGGUCAUCUGUAUUUGUGGACAAAAUUAUUGUAUUAUUCAUCUGUCAGUGUCCAUCUGACCUGGACUUUUUUUUCUCUGUAACUGAUCAAUGUUAAGUUUCUGUAGUACCUUUAGUAAAACCAAAGGAUCAAUUUCACAAAAAAUUUUGGAAAAAUACUCAAGUCAUGACCGUUUCAGUAUAACUUGCAAUCAAUUUUUGUUAUAUUUUUUUGUGAAACUGUUUUUACUUUGUAAAAUUCAGACAUGAUCAGUAAAGCAGGCAAAGAUUUUUGUGUGUACUUUCUGGAUUAAAUAAAAAACACAUGAAAUUAUGUUAUAGAAUUUAUGUUUGUAUCCUUGCAGUUGCUUUUCUAUGGGCAUUACAAUUGAAAAAGGGAAACACAUAUUUAGAAGAAAAAUGACGAUUGGGGCAAACUGAUUUUUUGGAGCAAGAAAAUGUUAAAUAUUUUUGCCAACUUGGAACAGAUUGGUUUUUUUUGUCGAGCCUGCAACUUUUGUUGCAGAAAGCUCGACAUAGGGAUAGUGAUCC
rnacentral:lncRNA from 1 species